rnacentral:rRNA from 1 species
GGCAGGCUAGAGUCAGAAAGAGAGGGGUAGAAUUCCCAGGUGCAGCGGUGAAAUGCGUAGAGAUGGGGAGAAACACCGGUGGAGAAGGCGGUCUUUUGGUCAAAGACUGACGCUGAGGUGAAAAAGCGUGGGGAGCAAACAGGAUUAGAUACCCUGGUAGUCCACGCCGUAAACGAUGUCGACUAGGUGUGUGGUGCUUUUGAGGCGUGGUUUCCGGAGAUAACGCGUAAAGUCGCCCCCCCUGGGGAGUACGGCCCCAAGGUUAAAACUCAAAUGAAUUGGGGGGGGCCCCCACAAGGGGGGGAGCAUGUGGUUUAAUUUGAUACAACGGGAAGAACCUUACCUACUUUUGACAUCCAGAGAAUUUCGCAGAGAGGCUGAGGUCCCUUUGGGAACUCUGAGCCCGGUGCGCCAUGGGUUUUUUCCACUUGUUUUGUGAAAUUUUGGGUUAAAUCCCCCAAAGGGGCCAACCCUUUUCUUUUGUUCCCACCCGUUCGGUCGGGAACUCAAAGGAGACUGCCAGUGACAAACUGGAGGAAGGUGGGGAUGACGUCAAGUCAUCAUGCCCCUUAUGACCAGGGCUACACACGUGCUACAAUGGCGCGUACAAAGGGAAGCGACCUCGCGAGAGCAAGCCAAUCUCUAUAAAACCGAUUUCAGUCCGGAUUGGAGUCUGCAACUGCCUACAUGAAGUUGGAAUUAGUAGUUAUUCCUGAUCAGCAUGCCCACGGGAAAUACUUUCCGGGGCCUGGAAAACCCGCCCGUCCCCACCAUGGGAUUGGGUUCCCCUGAAGUUACUGUGUUGUUGAUCCUGCUUCGAUCUUUAAACACCUGUCA